GUUGAAGUGUGUAUUUCGCCUUGUGUGCAAUAUUACCUAUUUGCAGUUUGUUGGAUUUUCAUUAUUCAAAAAGAGCUUUUCUUACAGUCUGCUGUUUUACGGUUUUACUAUUACUCUGUGUUGUACAUUUUGCACGUGGACGCAGUAAUAUACAAGAGGCACUAUUCGCGCUCCGCUACAUAUAUAGAUAUAGAUAUGAAGGACUGAAGUUCCCACUUACGCGGGAAGAAGAUUUAUUGGUCUUAGAAACCUCCCUAGCAAAGGAGGACCAUUUUAAAGAUGCAGUUCAGGAAUUAGCAAAAACAGGGGGGACAACAACUACCAAUUUGUGAAAAGGGUGUUGUCCUCAAUUAUAGACAACAACUUAGCGCUGAAAUACAGCUGGUUGGGAAGAAAGGGCAAGAAAGUAUUCUGCACCCUGCAUUUAGCUAGGUUGGUGAUAUGUAAGUAUCGCCCUGUUUUUAAUGUUUCUAAUGAUGAUUUCUGUAUAAUUGAACAUGUACAAAUUCUUGUUUUAACUGCUGCUGAAACGGCAAACCUUGGUGAUACCAAAAGAGCAACAGAGGUAUCAAUACAAAAUUGGCUGAGGAGAGCGUUUGACAGAAAUCAUGUAACCCCAAAACAAUUUUGAACGAACAUUGUAUUUUAUCAACGGACUACAUUUAAAUAAAAUAUUAUUAUACUGAAUACGAUUAUACUUUAAUUAAACCAUAUUUAUGACAUCUGUAGGGUAUAUAUAAGAUAUCUUUAGGGCAUUAAUAAGACAUCUUUAAAACGUCUGUAAGGCAUCUGUCGGAUAUCGGUACGACAUCUUUAAGACAUCCCGUUUUCUAACAUAGGAUGUUAACAGGACGUAUUUCAGGCAUUCGCAGGACCUUUCAGAU